rnacentral:lncRNA from 1 species
UGUUUUAUUCUAAGCUUAUGGUUAAUCAUUACUGAUUGCCAUGAAAAUUGUACUCUGGACAUCUUGCAUAUAUAAGUCAGGUAUGAAAGGCUGAUCACCUUCAUUACCAGUUGGUUCAGAAAUGUUUGUUCAUGUUUAAAACUUGUUCAGUCAAAAGUUUGUUCCUGCUAGUUCUCAAUUAUAUUGAUGAAUUAUAGCCAGCUUAUUAUUCAUACUCUUCAAUCAUGAUAUAUCCUUAUAUUGUUGUAUUUAAACUUGCUGGGCAACUUUCAUGCUCACCCUUGCUAUAUCAUGAUAAAACAUUGCAGAUAAGGCAAAUGCGUUCGGAUACAGGAAAAGAUAAUGCCAAGUUCAACUUGGGAUAAAUUGUGCGGCUAUUUUGUAAUAGUAUAGUUUGAUAAAUGUGAUAAAUGUUAGAUCAUUUAUGAUUGUGUAUAAG